ensembl:lncRNA
UCCUCCUCUUGUUUUCUUGCAUACUUUGCUGGGAACUGUGCUCUACUGUCUACUGUCCCUUUUCUGUGUAACUCAUCAUCGAAGUCGGACGCCCAGCUCUAACUCUACUCUCAGACAUGCCCGGACUUGUCUCUUUGUGGGAGGGCAAUAUUGUGGGGGAGGGCAUUAUGGUCAAUAUGAUAUGGCACAGACUUACAUUAAAUGCACCUGUUUAGAUCAGUGCAGUCUAAAACAGUCUGGAUACACUCUGUACAUGCGAAAUAUUAUUUUGGAGUCUGUAGAUUUUAUUGCUGUUGAAUUUCUACUGUGCUGUGUAUCAAACUGGUUAAAAGGCAUAUAUUCUGUGCCAUCAUGAAUUCACAGCAUGGAGUAUAAGACUUCUGACCCGGUGCCCAGCAGAGGGACUUCCCAUUACAAUCUUGGCCGUGGACUUACUGGAUUGAUUUUUCUCUUUCUGAUUGCGAUUGGAGCACUGUGAUCUUCAGAGACUUUGGAUCUUCAACAUUUAUCACUCAGCAUGAAACAUCGUGCUGAAACAUCAUUUUUUUUUACUCAUAGCUACUUACUUUCUGUCUUAAAAUGUAUUCGAUUUUAACUGUAUUAGAUUUGCCACAGCAAAAUGGCUAAAUAGGAUCUGUUUUAUUGCAUAUGCUUAAGCCCAAAGAAGUCAGCCUUUUUUUUAGAAAAACAAUUUCCAUAAUAACUGGUUAUUUUUCUGUAAAUCAGCUUCAUACUUAUUUGGCUUAUUAGACUUCAGCUUUACUUGACAGCAAAUAAUUAUGUUUGAAACACAUCUACAUAUCUGGCCUUAAUUAAAAACACAUCUGCA